UUUUUUCACACACUAAUUGGUGUAGAGUCUCAUCUCUCCUCUGCAGGUGGGCGUGCCUGGAAGUGGGGAGGCUGCAGGUAAUCUGCUGAUUAGCUGGCCAGGGAUAUUUAAGCUCCUGAGAGACGCCUUCACUUCGCUGGAUGAUUAACUCAACUUGGGUAUUUCUCCUAACAGCCAAAUCCAAACUAAGUUUUGAUUUUGAGAAUUUCUGGGUUAUGGAUUUUUGAUUUUUGAGCUCUCUGUGUUUUUGACUGCUUGUUUUGCCUCCUGCAGAUAUCACCUAUCAGUUCACCUCGUUUGCUGCUACCAACCUGGUUUCUUCACUGUCCACUCGUCUCUCAGCGUCCUCCUCUGGUCUUCCCACUCCAGGCUGCCCACCCUCCCUCCUGGAUCACCAUUACCCUUCAUGCUCAGCUCCCUCCUCAUUUGGACUCCAAGCUCAUCAGUGUUGGGGUUAUUAGGAGCAAACAAUUCGUAAGCUUUAACUUACUUUUGGAUUCUUCAAUAAAUUCUGUAAAUAUGGGAAUAUUUACUGAUUUAUUAAUUAAUUAAGAUAUUCUUAGAUAUAAGGGGCACCAUUCCCCUUUAACCGGGGAAAAAUUGAAUCCAAAACUCUUAUCAGUCUUUCUUGAAGUUCGUAGAAUCCUCGGAGCAGAGACUUCUCUUCGACACAACAAAGCUACUGGAGACAAAUCUGAAUUUUAUAACGUUUAAUUAACAAUUUGUCAAAUGAAUAAACGGUGGCAUAAAUGAAUAAUAACCAUGUGAUAUAAUAAAAGGAUGUAUAUUCAAAAUAAUGUUCAAGGUGUUUUGUGUGUAUGUAUGUGUGUGUGUGUUUCUAAAAUGGAGUCUGUAUGCAAGAUGGCUGACCCCUUUGUCUGGCUAAAGUGUGGGUGGCAACUUGGACUUUAACUUCCAAGGCACUUAGAAUCAUAAGUAACUUAACCUUAAAUUCACUCAAAACAUUUCAAAGGAUCAUGAAACAACACAAAAGAUUAAUCACGAAUAAUAUCUUUUAGUUUAACCACGUGGCCAAGCAGAAACCAUUUAAAGAUACCAAACAAUGAUCAAUAAGCAGUUUAUUCUUUCAAAAUGACCCGACGGACGUAUUGGGAGCGAAAGAGGAAAACACGAAGCUACUUUUUAAGCAAUAGCGCGGUUUUAUUGCUUAUUCUGGACUAUAGAGGAAACGGAAGAAGAAGGAGAGAAAGAGAUGAGUUUCUGAUCACCAGAACAGCAAGGCGUCCCCCGCUGUUUGAUUUGACGGUUCUCCGUGUUUCUCCGUGUUUCUCCGCAGUUUGGCGUCGUCCGUCGGUUUGAUGCUUUCUCCGUUGUUUGGCGUUCUACGAGUGUUUCUCCCACGGGCUGGACACAAAGAGAACGAAGUUUCUUUUGUGCUGAGUUUGACAACUUACAGCGUCUCAGAGCUGGAUGGAGUUGUUGCUUUCCUCCGCAGUUCUGUGUCCUCAAACAUCAGCUGGAGGGGAGCAGAAACGAGCAGAUCUGAUGGGCUUGCAGUUUAGUUUUUCCCAGCGGUCCCGUGGGCUCAACUUGGGCACUUAGAGCUUCCGCGUGCUCAAGGGAGUCGGAGCAUUCGACAAGCGUGUCCUUACCGCCAGGUAUCCUGGGCAAAAGAUUGAGGUUCCUUUGUCUUUCCUGAUGAUUUAUGGUCUGAGUUGGCGGGAAAGCUCUGUGACUCCCACACAUGCACAGAAUGUGUUUCUGGUAUUAGGCGGUGACGUCAUCACAAUGCUUCUGUGUGCAAAGCAUCAUGGGAAAUGAAGUUUCUUGGCGCUGAUGUGAUUAUUUGCUUUUCAGAGCAAUUUAAGCACAGUCAUUUUGGAGAAAAUCACUGCAUAGUAAUUUCCUCAUGAGGUCAGACCCUCAACAUCAGCCUCCAGUAAGCCUCCUGCCCUCCCCAGACCGGUCACUCCUCCCUCUCUCACGAGGUCUCACCUCCAACCUGUAAGUUCCAUCAGAUCCAACAUUCAGAUUUCCGAGUGCCAGACCUAACUCUCCCUGUUCCUCCAGGAUCCUCCACACCCGAACCUCGCUUCUCUGCCGAAUACUGCUAGACUUCCUAGCAGCUCCUUCUGUUCUCCUUUACUAAUAAAUUAUUGUUUGCGAUCUUCUUUGACUCUGUGGACUGAUUCUGUAUGUCGUGGGUUAGGCAUCUACCACACAACAUGACAAGAAUUAACUGUUCUCAGUACUUUUAGUUGUAUGUUUAAGCUGGUUUGUGCGUCUGACGGAGAAGAAAGCUGUGACAGCUGUAACAUUUUGAUGAACAUCCUCUUUUUCUCCCCGUUAAGGCAGAAGUGAUUGCGGUACGCCAUGUGGGAACCACCACCAUUUGAUUUAAAAGGGCUCAUUUGCCUAUGUAUUGGCAAAAUACCCCUCUGUUUGUGUACACAUGACUUCAGGUUGGUGAGGCAGCUGCUGAACACAAAGUGACUGCUACCAAGCAUACAACAAGAUCAACAAAUACAUCUCACAUGUGCUUUCCAUGAAGAGUCUGAUGACAUGACAAAGCUGAGAGAAACUUUCUCACCACCCUCCUCCCCCUCGCACGUCUCUUUGUCCUCGUGUCUGGCACACACUCACCAGCUCUUUCUGCCCUGCAGCUUCAUACACCUGCCUGCACGGCUGCAGCCGUGUCAUGUUUCAACGAUGAGGCAACCUUCGACCAAUGAGCUGUGGUGAGAACGGUUAAGGAGCGUGGUGGGAACUCUCCUCCCAUCUCUCGUCUCUGUACCUGGGAACCGAGGCAGCCUCAGGGAGGGGCCGUCCAGCCGCCUGCUGUCUGAAUGAACACCAAACAAAAACUCUCACCAACAGGGCUGGCACACUGCUUUGCAUUUUGGCAGGACUGGAAAAAGGGACACAGAGAAACAAAACAGUCAAAGUGUGGGAACUUUUUCCUUGUUCCUUUUUCUUUUCUUUCAGGUGCUUUUAUCAGUAUUAACUCUGCUUACACAGGUAUUUGUGCACCUGUGGCACUGGAUUAGUGGAUCUGCUUCUUUAUUGUGUGUAAAAAAGCACGUAGAACAUUUUUUGUUCCAGGUUUUUGCUUGAAAACACAAACUGUUCUGGUGAACAGCUGUUAACGCUUAGAUUUGGAAGGCAAACAGUUUUCAUAUUUCACUUAAACUGGUUUAGUGCAUCAAAGCACAAAUGCUGAUAUGGGCUGUCAUAAUUUUAUACACUCAUGACAAUCAUGACCUACAAAGUAAUGUCCAAUUCUAUGGAUUUAUGUUUACAGAUGUUUAAAAGGAUGUUUGUUUUUCUCAGGACUGAAUCCUACUUUUGGGUGCAGCUAUGAUCCAGGGUGACCAACAGUGCCUCCAACAGAUACAGAAGUGUGAUGUUUUGGGAGACAAAACGUGAAAUUUUUGCUGCUUGCAUGUCAUUCUACUUAAAUCACAUUAGUCAAACCCUUGUUUUAAUUUGCCAAAGUCAAAGGCUGCUUUAGAGUAUCUUUAAAAUUGCUACAGCUUAGUUAAUCCAUCCCCCUUCCAGCCUUACCUGGGAAAUCUCCAGGUGUGGAUUUAAAAGUCACUCUAUAUUUGAACAUAAAUGUAUGUACAGGAUGCCCUGCAUUCACUCAUAUCAAGAUCUAAAGCUACAUAAACUCUUAAUAGCUUGAGGUUGAGACUUGACCCCAAAACAGGCAAAGAGUUCACUGUUUUUGGUCAAAAACCACAGCCUCAGAUUUAGGUGAGAUGACUCUCGUCUUGGUGACUUCACACUAGUUGUGAACCAGUCCAGGACACUCUGAGGUCCCUGGCUUUAAGAUGCCAACAGAGCCACAGCAUAUAUGCCUUAAAGUCUUAAUGGACUUGAUGGAGCACAAGAAAAAGGGUUUGGUGGCACACAGCCCUGAUGGAGUCAGCCUUGCUCCUGCAACAAGCUCAACUUUGAGCUAAAAUGUGGAGAAUAUACUUUUUACAUAAUGGCAUUUUCAUGUUUUGCUCCAUUUUCCAUUUAGGUUUCAUCUUAAACAUAAAUAGCUAUGGUUUUCUUCCCCAAAAAGAAACCUAGAAAUGAUCCAAAUUCUCUUUUGUUUGUUUCUUCUGACUCAAUUAAACACAUACCACAUUUUUGUCUGUUUAUUUGUUUUGUUUUUUUCUUCCAGAUAGAUGUGGUUUGCUGUUUCACCCAUAAAUGUCACCCAGCUCCUGGUGCAAUCAAUUGUCAUCUCCCGCCUCGAUUACUGCAAUACCCUUCUAACUGGUCUUCCAGCCUGUACUGUGAGACCUCUACAAAUGGUCCAGAGCACACGUCACCCCUCUGUUCAUUGAGCUCCACCAUGGCUACCGCUAGCGGCACGCAUCAAAUUCAAAUUGCUAACACUAGCAUACAAAGUCCAAGAUGGUACGGCUCCCAUCUACCUGAAUCCUCUUGCAAAGGCUUACGUCUCGGCCCAGCCGCUCCGGUCAUCACAGGAUCGUCGGCUAGCAGUGCCUACACCACGCUCAGGACAAUCCAGACUUUUCUCAUGCAUCGUUCCACAAAUGUGGAAUGACCUUCCAAGCACUACCAGAACUGCAGCUUCCUUUUCAAAUUUCAAGAAACUCCUGAAGAUCCUGCGCUUCAGAGAGCAUCACCCAUCCUCCCUCUCUACUGUCCACUCCUUGUUCCCUACUCCCCAUGAUUUAUGUCACGUUAUUGUUGUUAUUGUUGUUGUUAGCCUCAAGGGCAACAUGCCGAUUAUCACUUGUAAGUCGCUUUGGACAAAAGCGUCUGCUAAAUACAUACACAUAAACAUAAAUGUGAUUAAAUCCUUCAAACAACUUUUUUAACAUUUGCUAAAACGUAAUCGGUAACCGCUUAAUAAUGCAUUCAAUAAUAUGUUUAGUAAUGCUAUAUAAUGCAUAAUUGUUAACACUUCAUGCAAUGGUUUGUUAAUGCUUAAUAAUGCACUAAGAAAUGUUAAUAAAGGACCCUUGUUGUAAAGUGUUAUCACACAAUCAAACAAACAAGGAAAUACACAGUUCGCCCUUUUUGGGGACACAACUGAUUAUGAUUAACAUGUUUUAGUGUAAAAGACCAGAACCGUAUGGCAGGACAGACACCUAAGUGUGAACUAAUCAUCCCUUUUCCUUUACACCAUCAGCUUGACUGCUAUGUCUGGCAUUGCAGUUCAUUUAAAACUGAGUGCUUCACAUCUCCUACUUAGGUCUUUGUCAUCCACAGAAGCUUUGUUUGGAGGCUCAUGUAGUCCAUAAACCAAAACUGGAGACAACAAUAGCCGGGCAGCUGCUUCCUGGGCACUCAGCUCUGUGUUGUACAACAGGUGCAUUCUCAUGAUGUCACUUUGCAGUGUAAAAGUAGCUUAAGUUGCAGAAUGAGCAAUGUUAUGUUAAACUGUUUUUAGCUGAACGUAAAUAAGUAGUAGCUAGGUACUCAUGUUUAUUUUUGAAUGGAUUGUAAUUUAACAGAAAUUCCGAUAAAAACAUGGCUGAAAUUAAAAGUGAAAUCAUCUGAAUGGUUGGUCGUUUGAGAAAAUGAAGCAACAAACUCAUCACAUGAGUUUAUUUGGCCUAGGAGAGGAGGAUGUCCGCUCUUAAGGGGAUCAUUCACAGUAAGGUGUUAGUUUUGUCCAACAGUGCCCUGAAUCUGUGGUCACUGUGAGCCACAGCCUACUGCAACAUCACAGUUGACUUCUUUGAAACUGUGUCACCAACAGCAAACACUUAUUCCUUUCUACUGGGAAACAGUAUUUUUUUUUUUUGCAUGAAAAUUUGAAGGGAAAAGAUAAAUAAAAGCAUGCCCUUUUUGUGUU